GACGAACGCUGGCGGCGUGCCUAAUACAUGCAAGUAGAACGCUGAAGGAGGAGCUUGCUUCUCUGGAUGAGUUGCGAACGGGUGAGUAACGCGUAGGUAACCUGCCUGGUAGCGGGGGAUAACUAUUGGAAACGAUAGCUAAUACCGCAUAAGAGUAGAUGUUGCAUGACAUUUGCUUAAAAGGUGUAAUUGCAUCACUACCAGAUGGACCUGCGUUGUAUUAGCUAGUUGGUGGGGUAACGGCUUACCAAGGCGACGAUACAUAGCCGACCUGAGAGGGGGAUCGGCCACACUGGGACUGAGACACGGCCCAGACUCCUACGGGAGGCAGCAGUAGGGAAUCUUCGGCAAUGGACGGAAGUCUGACCGAGCAACGCCGCGUGAGUGAAGAAGGUUUUCGGAUCGUAAAGCUCUGUUGUAAGAGAAGAACGAGUGUGAGAGUGGAAAGUUCACACUGUGACGGUAUCUUACCAGAAAGGGACGGCUAACUACGUG
rnacentral:rRNA from 1 species